rnacentral:rRNA from 1 species
AGAGUUUGAUCCUGGCUCAGAGCGAACGCUGGCGGCAUGCUUAACACAUGCAAGUCGCACGGGCCGGGCAACCGGUCAGUGGCGGACGGGUGAGUAACGCGUAGGUAUCUAUCUCUGGGUGGGGGAUAACUGUGGGAAACUACAGCUAAUACCGCAUGACACCUGAGGGUCAAAGGCGCGAGUCGCCUGGAGAGGAGCCU